rnacentral:rRNA from 1 species
GGAGUAUGGGCCGUGUCUCAGUCCCAUUGUGGCUGAUCAUCCUCUCAAACCAGCUAUUGAUCAUCGCCUUGGUAAGCUCUUACCUCACCAACAAGCUAAUCAAAUACAGGCUCAUCCGUAAGCGGAUCUCUCCUUUCAAGUAUAAUAUCUCAAUUACACUCUUACGCGGUAUUAGCAAAGGUUUCCCUCUGUUAUCCCCCUCUUACGGGCAGAUUCCCUAUAUAUUACUCACCCGUCCGCCGCUCUCCCCGAUAGCAAGCUAUCGGUUCGCGCUCGACUUGCAUGUAUGAUGCACGUCGCCAGCGUUCAUC